rnacentral:rRNA from 1 species
UACAGAGGUCCCAAGCGUUGUUCGGAUUUACUGGGCGUAGAGGGUGCGUAGGUGGUGAGGUAAGUCUGAUGUGAAAUCUCCGAGCUUAACUCGGAAAUGGCAUUGGAAACUACCUUGCUAGAGGGUUGGAGGGGGGACUGGAAUACUUGGUGUAGCAGUGAAAUGCGUAGAUAUCAAGUGGAACACCAGUGGCGAAGGCGGCCAUCUGGACCGGCACUGACGCUGAGGCGCGAAAGCGUGGGGAGCAAACAGG